rnacentral:rRNA from 1 species
UACGUAGGGGGCUAGCGUUGUCCGGAAUCAUUGGGCGUAAAGCGCGUGUAGGCGGUCCGGUAAGUCCGCUGUGAAAGUCGGGGGCUCAACCCUCGGAUGCCGGUGGAUACUGUCGGGCUUGAGUACGGAAGAGGCGAGUGGAAUUCCUGGUGUAGCGGUGAAAUGCGCAGAUAUCAGGAGGAACACCAAUGGCGAAGGCAGCUCUCUGGUACGUGACUGACGCUGAGACGCGAAAGCGUGGGAAGCAAACAGG